GCUGGUAUGGCGGAACUGGCAGACGCAUUUGCCUUAAGAGCAAAUGGUGGGUUUCCAUCGUGCAGGUUCGACUCCUGUUACCAGUA
rnacentral:tRNA from 1 species